AGGGCUGUGGCUCAGUGGUAUAGCAUGUGCUUGGCAUGUAGCAAGCCCCAGAUUCAGUCCUUGGCAGCUCCU
rnacentral:tRNA from 1 species